rnacentral:tRNA from 2 species
UUUAAAUAGUUUAAUUAAAAUAUUGAUUUGUGGAGUCAAAGAUAUUUAUAAGAUAAAUUUUAAAUU